rnacentral:tRNA from 1 species
GGAGAGGUGCCGGAGUGGUUGAACGGGCCCGUCUCGAAAACGGGUGUAGCUGAUGAAGCUACCGUGGGUUCGAAUCCCACCUUCUCCGCCU